rnacentral:rRNA from 1 species
GAUGAACGCUGGCGGCGUGCCUAAUACAUGCAAGUCGAGCGAACAGACGAGGAGCUUGCUCCUCUGACGUUAGCGGCGGACGGGUGAGUAACACGUGGAUAACCUACCUAUAAGACUGGGAUAACUUCGGGAAACCGGCGCUAAUACCGGAUAAUAUAUUGAACCGCAUGGUUCAAUAGUGAAAGACGGUUUUGCUGUCACUUAUAGCUGGAUCCGCGCCGCAUUAGCUAGUUGGUAAGGUAACGGCUUACCAAGGCAACGAUGCGUAGCCGACCUGAGAGGGUGAUCGGCCACACUGGAACUGAGACACGGUCCAGACUCCUACGGGAGGCAGCAGUAGGGAAUCUUCCGCAAUGGGCGAAAGCCUGACGGAGCAACGCCGCGUGAGUGAUGAAGGUCUUCGGAUCGUAAAACUCUGUUAUUAGGGAAGAACAAAUGUGUAAGUAACUAUGCACGUCUUGACGGUACCUAAUCAGAAAGCCACGGCUAACUACGU